rnacentral:rRNA from 1 species
AAUGAACGCUGGCGGCGUGCCUAACACAUGCAAGUCGUGCGCGAACGGGACUUCGGUCCCUAGUAGAGCGGCGAACGGGUGAGUAACACGUGGGUAACCUGCCUGGGAGUGGGGGAUAACCUGGGGAAACUCGGGCUAAUACCGCAUACGUUCCCGGGGCUACGGCUCCGGGAGGAAAGAUGGCCUCUGCUUGCAAGCUAUCUCUCCCAGCGGGGCCCGCGGCUGAUUAGCUAGUUGGUGGGGUAACGGCCCACCAAGGCGACGAUCAGUAGCCGGCCUGAGAGGGUGAUCGGCCACACUGGAACUGAGACACGGUCCAGACUCCUACGGGAGGCAGCAGUGGGGAAUAUUGGACAAUGGGGGAAACCCUGAUCCAGCAACGCCGCGUGGGGGAUGAAGGUCUUCGGAUUGUAAACCCCAGUUGAGAGGGACGAAGGCUUUCGGGCAAACAGUCCGGAAGCUUGACGGUACCUCGAGAGGAAGCCCCGGCUAACUCUGUGCCAGCCGCCGCCGUAACAC